rnacentral:rRNA from 1 species
UACGGAGGGUGCAAGCGUUAUCCGGAUUCACUGGGUUUAAAGGGUGCGUAGGUGGGCAGGUAAGUCAGUGGUGAAAUCUCCGGGCUUAACCCGGAAACUGCCAUUGAUACUAUCAGUCUUGAAUAUCGUGGAGGUAAGCGGAAUAUGUCAUGUAGCGGUGAAAUGCUUAGAUAUGACAUAGAACACCAAUUGCGAAGGCAGCUUACUACCCGAAUAUUGACACUGAGGCACGAAAGCGUGGGGAUCAAACAGG